rnacentral:rRNA from 1 species
ACACAGCAGUUAAGCUCUCACGCGUCGAAAGUACUUGGCUGGAAGCGGCCCGGGAGGAUAGAUUGUUGCCGGUU